GUCGAGAAUUUUUCUCAAUGGGGGAAACCCUGAAGGAGCGACGCCGCGUGAAGGAUGAAGGUCUUCGGAUUGUAAACUUCUGUCAUUUGAGAACAAACUGCACGGCUUAACUGGCUGUGCACUGAUAGUAUCAGAAGAGGAAGAGACGGCUAACUCUGUGCCAGCAGCCGCGGUAAUACAGAGGUCUCGAGCGUUGUUCGGAUUCAUUGGGCGUAAAGGGUGCGUAGGUGGUCUGGUAAGUCGGAUGUGAAAUCCCGGAGCUUAACUUCGGAACUGCAUUCGAUACUGCCGGACUGGAGUACUGGAGAGGAGAUCGGAAUUUACGGUGUAGCAGUGAAAUGCGUAGAUAUCGUAAGGAAGACCAGUGGCGAAGGCGGAUCUCUGGACAGUUACUGACACUGAGGCACGAAGGCCAGGGGAGCAAACGGGAUUAGAAACCCUAGUAGUCC
rnacentral:rRNA from 1 species